GUAGGUGGCAAGCGUUGUCCGGAAUUAUUGGGCGUAAAGCGCGCGCAGGCGGUCCUUUAAGUCUGAUGUGAAAGCCCACGGCUCAACCGUGGAGGGUCAUUGGAAACUGGGGGACUUGAGUACAGAAGAGGGAAGCGGAAUUCCAAGUGUAGCGGUGAAAUGCGUAGAGAUUUGGAGGAACACCAGUGGCGAAGGCGGCUUUCUGGUCUGUAACUGACGCUGAGGCGCGAAAGCGUGGGGAGCAAACAGGGAUUAGAUACCCUGGUAGUCCACGCCGUAAACGAUGAGUGCUAAGUGUUAGGGGGUUUCCCGCCCCUUAGUGCUGCAGCUAACGCAUUAAGCACUCCGCCUGGGGAGUACGGCCGCAAGGCUG
rnacentral:rRNA from 1 species